UACAGAGGGGGCAAGCGUUGUUCGGAAUUACUGGGCGUAAAGCGUACGCAGGCGGCUUUGCAAGACAGGUGUGAAAUCCCCGGGCCUAACCUGGGAACUGCAUUUGUGACUGCAUGGCUAGAGUUUGUCAGAGGGGGGUGGAAUUCCACGUGUAGCAGUGAAAUGCGUAGAUAUGUGGAGGAACACCGAUGGCGAAGGCAGCCCCCUGGGAUGUGACUGACGCUCAUGUACGAAAGCGUGGGGAGCAAACAGG
rnacentral:rRNA from 1 species